GCCAGGAGCGCCGUUAGCUGCGGGCCGCAGCGCCCACCCGCCAUGUUGGGCGCCGAGCGAGGCUUCUCGGCGGGGAGUGUGGGGAAGGGCAGCGGCCGGCCCGCAGCCUCGCUCGCCCGCCCGGGUUUUUCAAGGAAGCGGGAGACGCAAGGGCCACCCCGCCUACGCCUGGCGGCGCAGACAGGCGGUGCUCGCAAUGCCGCGGAGGACGCCACCUCUUAUCGCCGCUUGCCCGUCGAGGCCACGCCCCCUCCCGCCCCCACUUGCCGUUGCCCGGGGUGUCGGUUACCUCAGCAACCACCGCCCUUUCUUCCUGACCGCCAAGCUGACAAUAAACAGAUGACCCAAUGUUGCCCAAGUUAGAGCAUGCACCGCUGCUGCCCAGGCCUCCAAUAAGGGCAGGGUUGGCGCGUGUGGGCUUCUCUAAAGGGAAACAUGGCCAGUAAUUUUAAAAUCCAUCCCCUCUUCAAUGAUAGCAAAUAUAAAAGCAACGGGCUGCAAAGUACACGUAUGUUUAAUGAAAAAUGGAGGGACGUGGUUACAAAAACCUGAGACUUCCAUUUUGCUGGAACCUUCUUUUCCUCUUGCACACUCACUCUGCGACUCUGUGUGGAGAGCUCCAAGUGACAAGGGAGGUCUGCAGCCUAAGCAACUGACACCUCAGCCCAACAGCCCUCAAAGAACUGGAUCUUCAAACAACCACAUGAGUGACCUAGAAGCAAAUCUGUCACCAGUGCUCUUGAGACGGGCUGAAGUAUUUAAUCACCGGCACAAAAUGUCCCAGUGUUCUGUUCUCCUGCCAUGGAAAUUUUAGAGAAAAGAUCAUGAUCUAAGAGUCUACAAGACCAGAGCAGCCUAAAUUGCUGAGCUGCCUGGUGGAGAAUAGCAGCAUUGGGUGGUUCCCAGGAUUCUUAAAAGGACUUUACAAAGGUAAGAAAUACGUUUUCACUAUGAGAGAUUAUUCAGGUUAACUAUUUCUGCCUAAUCAACCAUCCCAAAACUCACCUCUCAUGGUUUUGGGGGUUCAAGAGCUCAGCUGGGCUAUAUUUGCUUGUACUCUUUUAUAUGGUGGCAGACCCCUGGAGGCCGAGGCCAGAAUUAGUUGAAGUCCCUU
rnacentral:lncRNA from 1 species